UGGAUAUGCCUGGACAUGUGUGUGUGU
rnacentral:piRNA from 1 species